rnacentral:rRNA from 1 species
GAUGAACGCUGGCGGCGUGCCUAAUACAUGCAAGUCGAGCGAACAGAUGAGGAGCUUGCUCCUCUGACGUUAGCGGCGGACGGGUGAGUAACACGUGGAUAACCUACCUAUAAGACUGGGAUAACUUCGGGAAACCGGAGCUAAUGCCGGAUAAUAUAUUGAACCGCAUGGUUCAAUAGUGAAAGACGGUUUUGCUGUCACUAAUAGAUGGAUCCGCGCCGCAUUAGCUAGUUGGUACGGUAACGGCUUACCAAGGCAACGAUGCGUAGCCGACCUGAGAGGGUGAUCGGCCACACUGGAACUGGGACACGGUCCAGACUCCUACGGGAGGCAGCAGUAGGGAAUCUUCCGCAAUGGGCGAAAGCCUGACGGAGCAACGCCGCGUGAGUGAUGAAGGUCUUCGGAUCGUAAAACUCUGUUAUUAGGGAAGAACAAAUGUGUAAGUAACUAUGCACGUCUUGACGGUACCUAAUCAGAAAGCCACGGCUAGCUACGUG